GAGAGAGAGAGAGACAGAGUGCAUGUGUGUGCAUUUCAAAGAUCCCUCAUGGUUCUGCCUGUUUGUUCAGAUGGUGUUUCAGAAAGCCACUAUUUCUAAGUUAUUGCAUCAGUGUGUUUGAUCUCGCAGAUGUAGAAAGGCGGUUUAAACUUGCUGCUGCAGUGGGGGGGGAUCUCUGUUCUUUCCUAAAUGAAACACAGUCCCUGAAUUCCUUCAUGUUGUCAAUAUUAUGCUAUUCUGCUCUGUGUUACGUGUUUGAAAUGGAUAUCCACAAAUACUGUAGCACGGACAUCUGAUUUCACAAGGGUUUAUUUCACAAGCUUUUAUUUUUAAAAGGCUUCUAUUUUAUAUGCAUAACAUGAUACUCACGGUAACUUCCUGGUUCAGCUCAGCAGUUUCCCCACCAACUGCCAAUGGGAGUCAUCGAUGGGAUUUAAUGAAUCAGCAUCUUGAUUUCAUUACUUUUGGAACCGUAGCCACGUAAUGUGUGCUGUAGCUAACGCUAACUUGGGAAUCUCCUAUCAACUUCAAUGGUGUGUAGUUAAUGUUACCUUGGCCAAUGUCAGCUGGUUUAGCUAACCGCCCUAUAUCACAGCAACGUUUAAACUUCCCAGCUCCUCUGGGAUAUAUUUUCUCCUUCACUUCGAGGAUGGAAGUGGAAUAAAUAAAUCACAUGAUAUCCUGAAGUCGGCUCAAAACAAAACAAAAGCCUACAUGGACAGUGGCACUCCUGCACUUGUAAAUACAUCUUUCUGCACUUGAAGAGCUUUAGACUUGUAAUGGGUGAUUCUGUAAAGGGUGAUUCUGUAAUGGGUGAUUCUGUAAUGGGUGAUUCUGUAAUGGGUGAUU
rnacentral:lncRNA from 1 species